rnacentral:rRNA from 1 species
CGAGUGAAGCGGCACAGCUCAAAUUUGAAAUCUGGCGCUUGCGUCCGAGUUGUAAUUUGUAGAGGAUGCUUUUGGCGCGGUGCCUUCCGAGUUCCCUGGAACGGGACGCCAUAGAGGGUGAGAGCCCCGUACGGUUGGACACUAAGCCUCUGUAAAGCUCCUUCGACGAGUCGAGUAGUUUGGGAAUGCUGCUCUAAAUGGGAGGUAUAUUUCUUCUAAAGCUAAAUACCGGCCAGAGACCGAUAGCGCACAAGUAGAGUGAUCGAAAGAUGAAAAGCACUUUGAAAAGAGGGUUAAAUAGCACGUGAAAUUGUUGAAAGGGAAGGGUUUGUGACCAGACUUGUGCCUGGCGGAUCAUCCGGUGUUCUCACCGGUGCACUUCGCUUGGUUCAGGCCAGCAUCGGUUUUCGUAGGGGGAUAAAGGCUGCGGGAAUGUGGCUCUCUUCGGGGAGUGUUAUAGCCCACUGCGUAAUACCCUUAUGGGGACCGAGGUUCGCGCUUCUGCAAGGAUGCUGGCGUAAUGGUCAUCAACCACCCGUCUUGAAACACGGACCAAGGAGUCGAACAUUUGUGCGAGUGUUUGGGUGUUAAACCCUCACGCGUAAUGAAAGUGAACGGAGGUGAGAGCCUUUUUGGUGCAUCAUCGACCGAUCCUGAUGUCUUCGGAUGGAUUUGAGUAAGAGCAUAAAUGUCCGGACCCGAAAGAUGGUGAACUAUGCGUGGAUAGGGUGAAGCCAGAGGAAACUCUGGUGGAGGCUCGCAGCGGUUCUGACGUGCAAAUCGAUCGUCAAAUCUGCGCAUGGGGGCGAAAGACUAAUCGAACCAUCUAGUAGCUGGUUACCGCCGAAGUUUCCCUCAGGAUAGCAGUGUUGUUCUUCAGUUUUAUGAGGUAAAGCGAAUGAUUAGGGACUCGGGGGCGCUUUUUAGCCUUCAUCCAUUCUCAAACUUUAAAUAUGUAAGAAGCC